rnacentral:lncRNA from 1 species
GAGCUGUCUUUUUGCCAGCAGGAAUGCAAAAUGGUGCAAUUCCAAUGGGGGAGGAAUUGUUUAUGUCUUGCAAAUUUAUAUAUGCACCUGCCCUUUGCCUCAGAACCCUACAUCUAGGUAUCUGUCUCAAAGAUUUGCUGCCAAAAAUAGAAAACAGCUUUUGUAAAAGGCUAUUCACUGUAGAAUUAUUUAUCAGGAAAAUACUAGUAAAAACCCAUGCUGUAUGUCUUCACUGUGGAAGUGGUAAAUAAAACCAUGGGGAAAGCAUACACUGGGUAAUAGCAGUGCAAAGGUAACAUGAGCCUUUUUUUUUUUUAAAUAUAUUUUUAGAUGUUGGUGAACAUUUGUUUUAUUCAUUUAUUUAUAUGCUGUUCUGAGAAUCGAACCCAGUGCCUUACACAUGCUAGGCAAGUGCUUUGCCACUGAGCCACAACCCCAGCCCAAUGUAAGCCUUUUUGAUAGGGGGAAGAAAUUGUUACCACCUUUAGAGAGUAUGAGAGGCACUUCUAGCUGCUGCUGAAAUUCUGUUCCUGAACUGGAUGGCAGUUUCAUGGAAGGGUUAUUUUGUGUGUACUUUCCUUUAGUAUAUUUAAAAUCAGUGAAAAUGUUACUUCAAGAAGGAAAAAGUUACUUCAAGAAGGGAAAGGAGGAUGUCUGAAAAAAGUAAGGUACCAGAAUAUAAUUUGUGGUGUGCUCUUUUGUGAAACAAAGGUUGGAAACAAUAUGAAAAUGCAUAUUACUUUUAGUUUUAAAAAGAUUUCAGGUGCUUCGGGGCAUGCCUGUAAUCCCAGCUACUCAAGAGACAGGAGGAUCACAGGUAUAAGGCCAGCCUUAGUACUUUAGUUAAGACCCUGUCUCAAAUAAAAACCAAAAAGGACUUGGGAUGUAGCUCAUUAGUAAAGCACCCUCAUGAGUUCAAUCACCAGUAUGGGGGGAAAAUGUAGUUACAGGAAGGCUCUGAAAUAUGAAACUGUGGGGUGUGUGUGUGUGUGUACACAUGUGCUAAACUGUUGUAUUUAUAAAAAUGGCAAAAAAUAAAAAUCAACUCAGCAGUCAAACCUCACAUCUUCAAUAAUAAAAGGUACUUCUUAGUACUACAGAACUAAGUAAGAAUACUAGCUUCAACAGCCAUUGUUCAGCACUGAGGUCACCCAAGUUAUACCAAAAUGGGCAAAUGUUGCCCAAAUAAAAUCUUGUUGUUAAAGCUGA